rnacentral:rRNA from 1 species
GUUGAUAAGGUUAAGUGAAUAAGGGCGCACGGUGGAUGCCUUGGCACUAGGAGCCGAUGAAGGACGGGACUAACACCGAUAUGCUUUGGGGAGCUGUACGUAAGCUAUGAUCCAGAGAUUUCCGAAUGGGGGAACCCAGCAUCUUUUAUAGGAUGUUACGUUUGCGUGAAUACAUAGCGCAUUCGAGGUAGACGCAGAGAACUGAAACAUCUAAGUACCUGCAGGAAGAGAAAGAAAAUUCGAUUCCCUGAGUAGCGGCGAGCGAAACGGGAAAAGCCCAAACCAAUGAGCUUGCUCAUUGGGGUUGUAGGACUCCAAUAUGGUAGUUCUUUCAGAUAGUCGAAUGACUUGGAAAAGUCAGUCAAAGAGGGUAAAAACCCCGUAGAUGAAAUUUGGAAGGCACCUAGGAGGAUCCUGAGUACGGCGGAACACGAGGAAUUCCGUCGGAAUCCGGGAGGACCAUCUCCCAAGGCUAAAUACUCCCUAGUGACCGAUAGUGAACCAGUACCGUGAGGGAAAGGUGAAAAGCACCCCGGAAGGGGAGUGAAAUAGAACCUGAAACCGUGUGCCUACAACAAGUCAAAGCCCGUUAAUGGGUGAUGGCGUGCCUUUUGUAGAAUGAACCGGCGAGUUACGAUUGCAUGCGAGGUUAAGUUGAAGAGACGGAGCCGCAGCGAAAGCGAGUCUGAAUAGGGCGUUUGAGUAUGUAGUCGUAGACCCGAAACCAUGUGAUCUACCCAUGUCCAGGUUGAAGGUGCGGUAAAACGCACUGGAGGACCGAACCCACGUACGUUGAAAAGUGCGGGGAUGAGGUGUGGGUAGCGGAGAAAUUCCAAACGAACUUGGAGAUAGCUGGUUCUCUCCGAAAUAGCUUUAGGGCUAGCCUCGGAAUUGAGAAUGAUGGAGGUAGAGCACUGUUUGGACUAGGGGCCCAUCUCGGGUUACCGAAUUCAGAUAAACUCCGAAUGCCAUUCAUUCAUAUCCGGGAGUCAGACUGUGAGUGAUAAGAUCCAUAGUCGAAAGGGAAACAGCCCAGACCACCAGCUAAGGUCCCAAAAUAUAUGUUAAGUGGAAAAGGAUGUGGGGUUGCACAGACAACUAGGAUGUUGGCUUAGAAGCAGCCACCAUUUAAAGAGUGCGUAAUAGCUCACUAGUCGAGUGACCCUGCGCCGAAAAUGUACCGGGGCUAAACAUAUUACCGAAGCUGUGGAGUACACCUUUAGGUGUAUUGGUAGGAGAGCGUUCUAAGGGCGUUGAAGGCAGAUCGUGAGGACUGCUGGAGCGCUUAGAAGUGAGAAUGCCGGUAUGAGUAGCGAAAGACAGGUGAGAAUCCUGUCCACCGAAUGACUAAGGUUUCCUGGGGAAGGCUCGUCCGCCCAGGGUUAGUCGGGACCUAAGCCGAGGCCGACAGGCGUAGGCGAUGGACAACAGGUUGAUAUUCCUGUACUCGUUGUUUUUGUUUGAGCAAUGGAGGGACGCAGGAGGCUAAGGAAUGCAGACGAUUGGAAAUGUCUGUCUAAGCAGUAAGUCUUGAUAGGAGUCAAAUGCUUCU